CGCGUAGGCGGUUUAGCAAGCUUGGUGUGAAAGAUCUCGGCUCAACUGAGGGAACGCACUGAGAACUGUUAAACUAGAGUACUGGAGGGGAGUCUGGAAUUCCUAGUGUAGGGGUGAAAUCUGUAGAUAUUAGGAAGAACACCGGUGGCGAAGGCGAGACUCUGGACAUGUACUGACGCUGAGGCGCGAAAGCGUGGGGAGCGAACA
rnacentral:rRNA from 1 species